rnacentral:rRNA from 1 species
AACGAACGCUGGCGGCAGGCCUAACACAUGCAAGUCGAACGUGAAGCCACCUUCGGGUGGUGGAAAGUGGCAGACGGGUGAGUAACGCGUGGGAACGUGCCUUUCGGUUCGGGAUAACCCAGGGAAACUUGGGCUAAUACCGGAUACGCCCUCCGGGGGAAAGAUUCAUUGCCGAAAGAUCGGCCCGCGUCGGAUUAGCUAGGUGGUGGGGUAAAAGCCUACCAAGGCGACGAUCCGUAGCUGGUCUGAGAGGAUGACCAGCCACACUGGGACUGAGACACGGCCCAGACUCCUACGGGAGGCAGCAGUGGGGAAUAUUGGACAAUGGGCGCAAGCCUGAUCCAGCCAUGCCGCGUGGGUGAAGAAGGCCCUAGGGUUGUAAACCCCUUUCAGCGGGGAAGAUAAUGACGGUACCCGCAGAAGAAGCCCCGGCUAACUCCGUGCCAGCAGCCGCAGUAA